rnacentral:sRNA from 1 species
AUGGCUGUCGUCAGCUCGUGUCGUGAGAUGUUGGGUUAAGUCCCGCAACGAGCGCAACCCUUGUCCCUAGUUGCUACGCAAGGGCACUCUAGGGAGACUGCCGGUGACAAACCGGAGGAAGGUGGGGAUGACGUCAAGUCCUCAUGGCCCUUAUGGGUAGGGCUUCACACGUCAUACAAUGGCCGGUACAGAGGGUUGCCAAAGCGCGAGCUGGAGCCAAUCCCAGAAAGCCGGUCGUAGUCCGGAUUGCAGUCUGCAACUCGACUGCAUGAAGUCGGAAUCGCUAGUAAUCGCGGAUCAGCAUGUCGCGGUGAAUACGUUCCCGGGUCUUGUACACACCGCCCGUCACACCAUGGGAGCGGGAUGUACCAGAAGUAGGUAGGCUAACCGCAAGGGGGCCGCUUACCACGGUGCGUUUCGUGACUGGGGUGAAGUCGUAACAAGGUAGCCGUAUCGGAAGGUGCGGCUGGAUCACCUCCUUUCUAGAGAUAACCCUCGUUUCAAGUGUCCACUCUUAUCGGUUGUUGCCGCGCGGGAAUGUCGCGCGGCCAGCGAAUGCCGGAUACGGGCCUGUAGCUCAGUUGGUUAGAGCAUCGUCUUGAUAAGGCGGGGGUCGAUGGUUCGAAUCCAUCCAGACCCACCACCCAGGACGGCUCGGCGGCGCGAGUGCCGGGGCAUCAGGAGUGGCGAACUGAAGAGGGGCUGUAGCUCAGUUGGGAGAGCACCUGCUUUGCAAGCAGGGGGUCGUCGGUUCGAUCCCGUCCAGCUCCACCAGUUUGUGAAGGCGGAGCCCAGCAUCGCGAAAGCAAGCGCAGAGUCCAGAGGUAAACGUGAGUGUUUACUUCUGAUCUUUGGAUCGGUGCCGAGAAGUUCGGUUGCUCUUUAAAAAAAUGGAAGAAGUAAAGCGCAUACGACGGAACAUUGUCGUAUGUUGGGUUAGAUUGUAUCGAACCAUUCUGUCCUAGUCCGAUAGAGUGGAAAUCGCAAACACCCGUGACAAGAGCAGCAGUGCUCAGCGUUAUGGGGUCAAGCGACUAAGUGCAUGUGGUGGAUGCCUUGGCGAUUACAGGCGAUGAAGGACGUGGCAGCCUGCGAAAAGCUCCGGGGAGCUGGCAAACAAGCAUUGAUCCGGAGAUGUCCGAAUGGGGAAACCCGG